GCUCCCCUACCGACAAUCUUUUUUGCAGUUCUUAGAGAAGUGAAUUCCAAAACACCACAAUUAAGCAAGCCCUUCGAGCUUGCCUCUAUGAAUAUUCAUGAAGAAAUGAAUGCCGGGCUCUUUCUUUCACUGCUAACCCCAUUUUCUUAAUGCUGAUACUUUCUGUUCUAACCAACUUCAAUAAACAUGUUACCUUAAAAAAUAGCACUUCGAAUUAAAACCAGAUUUCAAACUCCUUAAAAUACUCCAAUUUGAAUUUGAAAUAGUUUAAUAGCCAAACAGAUUUAGAUAUAGCAGCAAAAAAAUAUUAAAAGAUAUUUUCCUAGCUAUAUCAAUUACGUACCAUAAAAUAUUGUAACACGUGGCAAAUUAAACCAACCUGUAUUAGCACAUAUUAGAAUAAUAUGUAACACUCCAACCUGCAGUAAAACUCCUUAAUAAACUACAUUUUGAAUUUGAAUUUUUUUUCCCAGUAAAACAGAUUACUAUAGAAACUGCUAUUUUAAUAUUAAAGUAGAUUCCUUAAUUAACCAAAUACCUUGAAAAGCUCAUUUCAAACCUGUUAUAACAUAAUAAACUAAGAGAAUAAUAUCCAGCAGAAUGAUAUAAAGGAUAACACUAAUAUCUCCAAGGACCAAAAUAAGACUGAUAUCUUUUAGAGGCCCAAAAUAAUAUCAUACUCAGAAAACCAUUAUAAGGAAAAUCCAAACAAAAUAAAUUCAGUCCAUUUAAAAACAACUUACUGCUAAACAUAUAUUAACAUCAUUAAAACAUAGAAUAUAAAAACCAACAUUCUCGAUCCCCUUUUUGAUGAUGACAAAGGGGGAGAGAUAUUUGUUAUUUGAAUUGGUUUUCAUGUUGGUAGUGAGAUACUAUAUUGUGUUGCUGGAAUAUGCAAUGAUGGUUAUUUGGAUCAAGUUAUUUUUUGCUCCUUGAUAUGAAUAUAUUUAGAGGGAGUAUGUUGUUUAUGUAUCGUCGCCAUCAAAAAGGGGGAGAAUGUUAGUAUAUAUACUUUGUGGUUUUAAUGAUGACAAUGCAUACAUGGGCUAAAUUGAGAUUGUAUUGCUUUAUAACUUGAUUGGGUCAUGUUAAUUCAAAUAUAGUUAUGCAUGUUAAAUAUGGUAUGGAUUGCAUGGUUUUUGUAUUGGGCUGAUAUGGUAGGAAUAUGUGUGUAUUAUGGACUAAUUGGGCUGAUCCAUAAAGUGAGUUGUUAAAUUUUAGCAGGUUUGAUUUUGUUUCUAAUAUAUAUAUAUUGCCAAGUAAGCUUUUCAAUUAUAGAAUCUUAAGGAAGUCUUCUUUAUAUAGAAGUUUGUUUGGCAUAUUUUAAGGAAUCCAAUAUUAUUGGGAUUUUUUUCUUUAAUAUAUGUGUUGAUAUAUUGGGUUAUAUAUCUUUGUUAAUCUGUUUUGAUAUGAAGACCGAUUCGAAUAUAAAUUGGAGCAUUUUAAGGAGCUUGAGAUUUGGUUUUUGAAUUCAAAAUAUAAGGUAACAGAUUGUUGCAGUUGGAAUCUAAGUCUUAUCAUUAUUAUUCUUUAUUAGC
rnacentral:lncRNA from 1 species